rnacentral:rRNA from 1 species
AACCUUUACACUGCACGACAGUGCGAUAGGGGGACUCCGAGUGUGAGGGCAUAUAGCCCUCGCUUUUCUGUACCGUAAGGUGGUACAGGAACAAGGACUGGGCAAGACCGGUGCCAGUCGCCGCGGUAAUACCGGCAGUCCGAGUGAUGGCCGAUAUUAUUGGGCCUAAAGCGUCCGUAGCUUGCUGUGUAAGUCCAUUGGGAAAUCGACCAGCUCAACUGGUCGGCGUCCGGUGGAAACUACACAGCUUGGGGCCGAGAGACUCAACGGGUACGUCCGGGGUAGGAGUGAAAUCCUGUAAUCCUGGACGGACCACCAAUGGGGAAACCACGUUGAGAGACCGGACCCGACAGUGAGGGACGAAAGCCAGGGUCUCGAACCGGAUUAGAUACCCGGGUAGUCCUGGCUGUAAACAAUGCUCGCUAGGUAUGUCACGCGCCAUGAGCACGUGAUGUGCCGUAGUGAAGACGAUAAGCGAGCCGCCUGGGAAGUACGUCCGCAAGGAUGAAACUUAA